GCAAGUCGAGCGCGCCCUUCGGGGUGAGCGGCGGACGGGUGAGUAACGCGUGGGAAUAUGCCCUUCUCUAAGGAAUAGCCUCUGGAAACGGAGAGUAAUACCUUAUACGCCCUUCGGGGGAAAGAUUUAUCGGAGAAGGAUUAGCCCGCGUUAGAUUAGGUAGUUGGUGGGGUAAUGGCCUACCAAGCCUACGAUGGGUAGCUGGUCUGAGAGGGCGAUC
rnacentral:rRNA from 1 species